UUUAAAAAUUAUUUUUUUCCGAGGAGGAGCUCUCGGCAAACGAAUAUCCAGGCGCCGCUCUAGCUGGUUAUGUUUGGGACGCGAUAACUCAGUGCCUGCUCGCAGACCUGCAUACAACGCCCCGUGGAGGAUAUGCGCUCGAGCUUUCGCGGGCAGCUGGAAACGCGCUGGGUGCAGUUGGGAAACGAACUGCGUAGACGCCCCCGGCGGCGCCGAGGGAAGAGCUAGGCCUGCCCGGGAGCGAGCGAGCGAGCGUCGGGCCUUCCGCAAGGCCCCGGGCCUUGAGCGCCGCAGCGGGUCCCCCCUGGCCUCUUGGUGCUGGGUUUCUGGUCUUUGGGGGCAGCCUUGACAGAAGGAUCCGGAAGCAGGGGACUCCAGACGCCUAGCUGCUGCCGUGCCAUCACACCCGGAAAACCCUGGGGUGAAACUGACCACGGCUUGUCAUGGGGUGCAACAGACAGAGGUUGGUGGCAAAGAAAACUUCCUGGCGACCGUUUUGCUGGGGGGUGGGGCUUGUCUUCCUGGUCGCCAUGGCGACCCAGGAGUCCCGUCCAACACUCUCAACAAUGGGGCAUCUGCAGGACCAUCGGGAUGUUCCGAGGUCUUCGAGGUUCUUCUCCCACCCAUCACUCUGGGGCUCUUGGCUUUCCGGAGCCUCUUCCACAGAUUCAACACGGCAGGGAGUGAAAAACCACCCCCUUUUGGAAACGGAGGAGAAAAUCGAGAUUUAGUGCCGUCUCUGCGGGUGGGCCCAGGUCUGGAGCAAAAGCCCCCACUUGGAGUUGACGACCGUGACCUCCGAGGGGUGCGUACAGGGAUGCUUUCGCCCAAGCCCGCAAGCCCAGAUUUUCAGCCAGCGACGUGGGACCGGGUCAGCGACCAGGAGUGCUGAGUCUCUGUCUCUUCACAUAUACUAUUCACCCCGAACUCUGUUUUCGAGGCUCCCCGCAUACAUGCACACCACCCUAUCGCCUGCCUGGAUUAACGUCUCAGUGGAAGGAGGAAAGUCAGGAACUAGAAAUUUGUGGCUUUCGGGUGGGCAAGGCCUUACUGAGAGAAAGAAGACAUUAUACUCCUUUUAGAGGGAACAUUUUCCAUUGUGGGUGUAAUAUAAACAACAUUAAAAUAGCA